CAGUCGCCGCGGGAAAACAGAGGGUGCAAGCGUUAAUCGGAAUUACUGGGCGUAAAGCGCGCGUAGGUGGUUUGUUAAGUUGGAUGUGAAAGCCCCGGGCUCAACCUGGGAACUGCAUCCAAAACUGGCAAGCUAGAGUACGGUAGAGGGUGGUGGAAUUUCCUGUGUAGCGGUGAAAUGCGUAGAUAUAGGAAGGAACACCAGUGGCGAAGGCGACCACCUGGACUGAUACUGACACUGAGGUGCGAAAGCGUGGGGAGCAAACAGGAUUAGAUACCCGAGUAGUCCCUGUCUCUUAUAA
rnacentral:rRNA from 1 species